rnacentral:misc_RNA from 1 species
GUGAAUCAUCAAAUCUUUGAACGCAAAUUGCACUUUCUGGUAUUCCGGAAAGUAUGCCUGUUUGAGGGUCAGUUAAAUAAAAAUCGGUGUAGUUGCUGCCUGUCGUGGCGACGCGUCGGAAUUGGGUCGUCUUACCUCUGGUUUAGUGUCUUAAAAUUUUUGCAUGAUUUUCGUAUGUAUUUAAAUCGCUUAUAUACGAUUGAGAUAUCGAAUGC